rnacentral:rRNA from 2 species
GACGAACGCUGGCGGCGCGCCUAACACAUGCAAGUCGAACGAGGUCUUUUAGGAAGCUUGCUUCUUGGCUGACCUAGUGGCGGACGGGUGAGUAACACGUGAGCAACCUGCCGAGGAGUGGGGGAUAACAUCUGGAAACAGAUGCUAAUACCGCAUAACAUACCGAAGUGGCAUCGCUUUGGUAUCAAAGGAGAAAUCCGCUUUUUGAUGGGCUCGCGCCCGAUUAGGUAGUUGGUGAGGUAACGGCUCACCAAGCCGACGAUCGGUAGCCGGACUGAGAGGUUGAUCGGCCACAUUGGGACUGAGACACGGCCCAGACUCCUACGGGAGGCAGCAGUGGGGGAUAUUGCACAAUGGGGGAAACCCUGAUGCAGCGACGCCGCGUGAGUGAAGACGGCCUUCGGGUUGUAAAGCUCUGUUGAGGGGGACGAUAAUGACGGUACCCCUUUAGAAAGCCACGGCUAACUACGUGCCAGCAGCCGCGGUAAUACGUAGGUGGCGAGCGUUGUCCGGAAUUACUGGGUGUAAAGGGAGCGCAGGCGGGGACUUAAGUUGGAUGUGAAAUACCGCGGCUCAACCGCGGGGCUGCAUCCAAAACUGGGUCUCUUGAGUGGAGUAGAGGUAGGCGGAAUUCCUAGUGUAGCGGUGAAAUGCGUAGAUAUUAGGAGGAACACCAGUGGCGAAGGCGGCCUACUGGGCUUUAACUGACGCUGAGGCUCGAAAGCGUGGGGAGCAAACAGGAUUAGAUACCCUGGUAGUCCACGCUGUAAACGAUGAUUACUAGGUGUGGGGGGACUGACCCCUUCCGUGCCGGAGUUAACACAAUAAGUAAUCCACCUGGGGAGUACGGCCGCAAGGUUGAAACUCAAAGGAAUUGACGGGGGCCCGCACAAGCAGUGGAUUAUGUGGUUUAAUUCGAAGCAACGCGAAGAACCUUACCAGGUCUUGACAUCCCUUGCAUAGCCUAGAGAUAGGUGAAGCCCUUCGGGGCAAGGAGACAGGUGGUGCAUGGUUGUCGUCAGCUCGUGUCGUGAGAUGUUGGGUUAAGUCCCGCAACGAGCGCAACCCUUACUAUUAGUUGCUACGCAAGAGCACUCUAAUGGGACUGCCGUUGACAAAACGGAGGAAGGUGGGGAUGACGUCAAAUCAUCAUGCCCUUUAUGACCUGGGCUACACACGUAAUACAAUGGCACUUUAACAGAGGGAAGCAAUACGGCGACGUGGAGCGAAACCCGAAAAAGUGUCUCAGUUCGGAUUGCAGGCUGCAACUCGCCUGUAUGAAGUCGGAAUUGCUAGUAAUCGCGGAUCAGCACGCCGCGGUGAAUACGUUCCCGGGCCUUGUACACACCGCCCGUCACACCAUGAGAGUCGGUAACACCCGAAGUCAGUAGCCUAACCGCAAGGAGGGCGCUGCCGAAGGUGGGAUUGAUGAUUGGGGUG